UACGAAGGGGGCUAGCGUUGCUCGGAAUCACUGGGCGUAAAGCGCACGUAGGCGGAUUGCUAAGUCAGGGGUGAAAUCCUGGAGCUCAACUCCAGAACUGCCUUUGAUACUGGUGAUCUUGAGCCCGGGAGAGGUGAGUGGAACUGCGAGUGUAGAGGUGAAAUUCGUAGAUAUUCGCAAGAACACCAGUGGCGAAGGCGGCUACUGGCCCGGUACUGACGCUGAGGUGCGAAAGCGUGGGGAGCAACAGG
rnacentral:rRNA from 1 species